rnacentral:rRNA from 1 species
GACUGUGGCUAGUAGCAUAAUAAUUUGUCUCUUAAUUGGAGGCUGGAAUGAACGGGUUAACUUGAGCUAAACUGUCUCUUUUUAGACAUAGAACUUAAGUUUUAAGUAAAAACGCUUAAAUCUACUAGAGGGACGAGAAGACCCUUCAGAUCUUUCCCAAUCAGUGAGGCCCACGGCCCAGCUUAGAGGGUUACCUGGGAGGGGGUUCAAAUAAAAACUUUAAAAUAACAAAAAGACCUUAAUCGAUAUGUUGUCUAACUUGUUGAUCCUUUAUAGGACAGGUUGAAUAGAUACCUGAGGGAUAACAGCGUAA